rnacentral:rRNA from 1 species
GGUGAACGCUGGCGGCGUGCCUAAGACAUGCAAGUCGAGCGGGGCAGGUUUAUACCUGUUCAGCGGCGGACGGGUGAGUAACGCGUGGGUGACCUACCCGGAAGAGGCGGACAACCUGGGGAAACCCAGGCUAAUCCGCCAUGUGGUCCUGUCCUGUGGGGCAGGACUAAAGGGGCGACCCGCUUCCGGAUGGGCCCGCGUCCCAUCAGCUAGUUGGUGGGGUAAAGGCCCACCAAGGCGACGACGGGUAGCCGGUCUGCGAGGAUGGCCGGCCACAGGGGCACUGAGACACGGGCCGGACUCCUACGGGAGGCAGCAGUUAGGAAGCGUCCGCAAUGGAAGGAAGUCUGGCGGGGCGACGCCGCGUGGAGGGGGAAGCGCUUCGGGGUGUAAACUCAUGAACUGGGGACGAAAGCCCAGUGUAGGGGGAUGACGGAACCCAGGUAAUAGCGCCGGCCAACUCCGUG